AGCAUUUGAAGGGAAUGACUUAAAGUCACACAACCAACGGAAGUGUCCUCCUGGCCUUCAAUAAAGAAAGUUAUAAACAGAGCACAUCUAAUUGUCAGCCAAAAAGUGAAAAGUGCAGAUGCAGUUAAUUUCACAGUGCUCCAUCUCUGUUCAUCCCACAUAAUAAAGGCUCUAACUCAAGGAUUUUCAAAGACAACUGGCGAGUAUGCUGUAAAGGAAUAUGCCACCUACUGUUUUGGGCUUCUUCUUAACAGCACCACCCUACAAGAAGCACUUAACCUCUUUCAGGAUACGUCUAUGUUGUUCAUGUCAGCAAACAAUUCCAAUGGGGUUAUGGCAGCAAAAAACACACUGGACCAAAAAAUUCUGAAGUCCAAGCCUACUACUAUAGAUGAAACACUUCCACCAUAUGUAGAAGACAUGGAGAGGAGCAGCAACAUCAAGACUAUAUGUGUCAAAUCUCCCUUCACACAUUUAUUUAGUGGUGUUGUAGAGAAGACCAGGUGUACACAGACAGAGAGUGGCAAAAAGAAUUAAUUCUACUGCCCAGGGAUCAUUAAUGUCCUCAUGAGCAACUACAUGGGCAUUUUCCCCCUUUGGAGUGGCAUAUUGCUUGGGGACCUGAGCAGAUUCUGACCUGAGCUAUGGGCCAAGAGAUCCCUAUCUCAAAGACCAGCAAAGCAUCGUUCAAAGUAUUUUGAUCCACCAGAAGCAGUGCCCCAACCAAAAAGACACAAGAAAAAGCAAACAUCUGAGGAUCAUUCAGAGGACACAUCAGCCCAGAUCCAAGCUCUGUGGUCUAAGAAAGCAUGUGAGAUAGUCAUUGCCGUCACACAGUCAAAGGACAAAAAAAGGUCUUAUAUCCUGCAUCAUUCAGAGCUGAAAACACUCCAGCCACAUAAAUGGCUGGUGGGGGAGACAAUCCAAUGCUAUUUUCAAGUGGUGGUGAGUAACAGAGACCAGGGACACAGGAUUUUUAUACUAGAUCAUUUUGAUGACUACGAAGGAAUGAUAAGUUUCCUGAAUGUCAACGGGAAUCAUUGGAUAUUUUUGUGAAUACAUUUUAUAGUCCUUUUUUUAAUAUACAUGAGACACUGUUAUAUUACUCUAUUCUGUAGAGGAUGUUCAUAAUUUUGUUGGCUUGAAAAAUCAUAUUGAAUAAAUGUUCAGAUGAGCCAAGUCUAUUCAAACACCAACCAACCAAAUUAAAUUAUAAACUAUCCCGUACAAGGCCAUAUGCUUUGU